CUCUCCAUUAGGUGCCCUGCAAUGGGGCAAGUGGUAGUGCCCCUUUAAAGCCUCAGAGGCUUGUGUGCUUUUUUUUUUUCUUCAGUAGGGUCAGGGGGCUGUACUUGCCAUAGGUUGUGGAGAGGAGAUGUAGUGUGUCUGUCUGGGGGUUUGCCCCCAGUUAGUAUUUCCCACUCAACCAUAAAGUUGUCAAAGCCAGCAAUCUUAUCCAACCUCAACAAGUGCUCAUGCCUCUGGAAUGUGCUAGAAGGCCAAACUUGGUGUCACUUGCCCCAUCCGGAUCUACUGUUGGUGGACUGGAAGAGGAGCAGGGGUGAAGGACCAGAUUGGCACUGGGUAAGUGUUCAGGGACUUGGCUGCCUGAGAGAAAGGGCAUCAGCCCAGCUUCUUUCUGUGACCUAGAGAAGUCUCCCAGACAAUCCUGCUCACAGGGCCAAGGAAGGAGCCUGAGCCCCAGGUGCAUCACGGAAGACCUGGCCCCUGGUCCAACCCUGCUUCCCCAAGGACAUGUUGGUGCUGAACCGGACUGUACAGGAUGGCAUUUAAGCGCUAUGCAGUGUGGCCCAGUGGAGAGAG